AAAACAUCCAUGUGGGCUCCUGGGUUCAUUUUCUCUGUGCCCAGCAGGUUGUUUUGGAUGAAUGCUCUCCUUGGAAACCUGCCUACCUUUAUUGGCUGUAUGAGUGUGCAUGGUUAACUUGGAGAAAUAGCUAAAGCUAGUGCUGAAGGUGGCAAAAACUUCUUCACCCACAGAAGGAGGAGGCAGAAAGGAGGCAGAGUGACACAUCUGCUGCUCCACCAUGCUUCACCCAGACAGCAGAAUAACUGGACAAAGCCAGUGACUGUAGCCUUGGGAGAUGGAUGCCUGGGAAGGCUGGAGGAGGAGCGGUGCUGCUGGGGAGAAUGCCUGUGUGCUCCUUGGUCCUGGGUUGGCCAACUCCAUGUCAGACAAUGACAGUCCUCUGCCAUUUCAGCCACUGUUGGACACAGCUUAAGGAGUCCAGGGAAGGCUCAGGCUCUCCGGAGCACCCAGGAGCAACAUGUGGGAUCAGACUCUCUGAUACUACUGCAGCUCAUUGUCCCCAGGAGGGCAAUGUUUCCUUCUGCUUCAUACAGGAAAGGAGUCCUCUCUUAGGACUCAGGACUACAUUUGCAUGUGCUUUUUGGAAAGCACGUUUCAUACACAGGUCUGAGCCAUAUGUUAAAAUGAAACAGAUCGAAUUUGAAGUUAGCAUGCUGGUCUGAACUGCAGGAAAUGCAGCCCUGAGUUCUCUUUUCCUUUCUUUUUAUGCUUAUUUUCUUUUUCUUCCUUUAAAGCUCUUCUUUUUAUUUUCUUUUUCUUCCCUUAGAAUCCAUAUAGACGCUUUCAGAGUGAUUUUGUAUCCUCCCUGUAACAUCAAUAAAUUAUAUUGUCUGGGGAGAUAGUCAGCUGAGCCUUGCAGGAAGCCAAAGAGAUGCACAGAAGGAGAGAGGGCUAUUGAAUAUACUACUGCUCCAUGGAAAAUAUCACAGGCUGGCCACCGACUCUUGUUUUCUCAUUCAACCUGUUUCCCCAAGCACCAACCCAUAGCAAAUUUCUUGGAAAACUUUUUGAACUUUGAUGGGAUAUUUUACUCUUAAUCUAGCAGAAACUUAGCAAGUAGCUGCCUGUGAACCUAAGAGUUUUUCUGGAAUGAAAUGACAUUUUUUCAUUAAACAGAAGCAAUCAAGCAGCCCUUUGAAACCAGUGUGUGUCUCACCAGCAAAUUCCCAAACAGGCAGGAGGAAGCUUUGUCUACCUGUCUUGUUAGCUGCCACUGAGUUGGAGUAGGAUUGACAUGGUCUAAUGGGAAGUUAUGAUUCUGCCACGUCAGAGACUGAUUACAGAGGAAAUCUCCAAUAAAUGGUAUAAACAGCACAUAAUCAUAACUAGGUCUGUUCUGCUUAUUUCAUGAGCAGCUUUGUAAAAUGUGUCCUUCCUCCUAUUCUGAUAGCCUUCAUGCCUGUCUGGAUAUUUGAAUUCCUUGUUUAUUCUGAGAAAGAUGAAUCUAAAUGAUCAAUGUCUAUCUUGCUUGUUUCUUUUCUUGUUUGCAAUAUUUUAACAUAGAUAAUAUUCCCUGAGAUUAUCACUAAAUUCAAAACGUAUUUAGAAUCGCUAAGACUGGAAAAGAUGUCCAAGACCACACA